CCAUGCCGUAAACGAUGAUUACUAGGUGUGGGGGGAUUGACCCCCUCCGUGCCGCAGUUAACACAAUAAGUAAUCCACCUGGGGAGUACGACCGCAAGGUUGAAACUCAAAGGAAUUGACGGGGGCCCGCACAAGCAGUGGAGUAUGUGGUUUAAUUCGAAGCAACGCGAAGAACCUUACCAGGUCUUGACAUCGGAUGCAUAGUGCAGAGAUGCAUGAAGUCUUUCGGGACAUCCAGACAGGUGGUGCAUGGUUGU
rnacentral:rRNA from 1 species